rnacentral:lncRNA from 1 species
CUCUCUCUCUCCCCUCUCCCCCCUCUCCUCUCUCUCCCCCCUCUCCCCCCUCUUUCUCUCACUCUCUCUCUUUCCUCUCUCUCUCAUCCUUUGUUUUUUUUGGCAUAGCUAGUUGUGAUGUAUCCUAAAACAGAAGAUGCGGUCUAGUUGUUUGUGUUUUUGCUCGUAAUGUAGAUGCAUAAUAAUAUUGCUUAAAAUGUAUGUUCUGAGAUGAGUUGUGUAAAAUAGUGUCAAAUUUGCUGAUAUUUCAUUAUAAUAUAAACAGAAAUAUUUUCCUUUCCAAGUGUAUUUUAUCCAUUCUACAAACAUGCUUAACCUUUUAAUUGCCUAGAUACAUUAGUAUAAAUUGUGCAUGGAAUGAAGUAGAUUUUAACAUGAAAAUGUUUGACAUUAACUUCCAUAAUGGCCAAUAAUGAUUUAUUACAUAGCAAUACGUUUUGGUUUGAAGUAAUGGUAUAUUGUUAAUAUGCUUCCGUUUACUUCAAAAGGCCCCUCUUGUAUUGACAUCCAUCAUAUCAGCUAACAUGAAGUUGCUGCUGCUGCUUCUAAUUCUUAUUCUUAUUAUUCACUGAGGUAGCAGCCAUUUUGGGAUUAGAUAGAUAGAUAGCUGCCUAUCUAUGAUGCUAGAGAUACAGCAGCAUGGUGCUAGUGGUGUCUCCUUAGAUGUGUGUGUGUGCACAUAAUAUUUGUGUGAGGGAUAGUGUGUGUGAGUACUUCAGGGCUUAAGCUGUAAGUGUACGAAGGUCUGAUUUUGUCAGUGGGUACAUGUUGGUGUGUGUUCUUUGUCAUAUGUUGUACCCCAGUAUAUCUAGCUGCAGAGUGCCUAGCUGGUGUCAGCCUCGUAGGCAGUAAAAGUGUCUUUGUUCAGUCAGUCUCCGUGCUGUGGUGUGUCUGUGCUGUGGUGUGUCUGUGCUGUGGUGUCUCUGUGCUGUCUCUGUGCUGUGGUGUCUCUGUGCUGUGGUGUCUCUGCGCUGUGGUGUCUCUGCGCUGUGAUGUCUCUGUGCUGUGGUGUCUCUGUGCUGUGGUGUCUCUGUGCUGUGCUGUGGUGUCUCUGUGCUGUGGUGUCUCUGUGCUGUGGUUUCUCUGUGCUGUGCUGUGGUGUCUCCGUGCUGUGGUGUCUCUGUGCUGUACUGUGGUGUCUCUGUGCUGUGGUGUCUCUGUGCUGUGGUGUCUCUGUGCUGUGCUGUGGUGUCUCUGUGCUGUGCUGUGGUAUCUCUGUGCUGUGGUGUCUCUGUGCUGUGGUGUGUCUGUGCUGUGGUGUCUCUGUGCUGUGGUGUCUCUAUCACCCCUAUCUACCACUGAUGUCAUUAGUGAAAAGAGAACAUUGGCACAUUGGGAGCCUGGCUUAUUUGACAAUCCUCUGCCACUGCCUCCUCACCACAACAUAAAACCUGCAUCCUCACCACAUAUUUUUUGUAUACAUUCUCAGCGGUGACCAACCUCUGCCAGCGUAGCACAAUCUCUAUGUAAAUGUAUUCUGAUUCAUUUGUUGCCCAAAGACCAUCAGCUCGGCUGGCUGGAGGAAGAGGGCUGUGGUGGGGAGGAAGGUGUUUCCACACUGGGCUAUAGCUGUCUGGGCUUGUGUUAGAUUGCUGUUAAAGCUAGCAGCUAGGAGGUGUACCCCUGCCAAAAACAUCCAAAAACCCCCAUUAAACACUGUUUAUGUUGGGCUGUGAUUUACAAAUGGGCUUUUGCCUUUGGCGUAGCACCCCUGUGUCACUCCGCUUUUCCAUCAGGCACGCAGCAGACAGCUAAAGAAUAGAAUGGGGGGUGGGGGGGGUCCUCACUCAGCAAGCGUAGGGUGACGGGAAAGGGGAGGGAGGGAGGAAGGUGUGAGCUUUUCCAGCUUUGUGGGGACUCCUCUCUACAACGCAGUUUGGUGUUCAUUUUGAGAUAUUCCUGAGUGCAUCGACACAAUCUCUCUCUCUCUCACACACACACACACACACACACACACACACACACACACACACACACACACACACACACACACACACACACACACACACACACACACACACACACACACACACACACACACACACACACACACACACACACACACACACUUUCCAGUAUCUCUAUUGUUGUGAACUUUACCUCAUUGCUAUUUAUUUUACUGUCAUCCUGGCUGUUGUGUGAGACUGUGGAAGACUCCGUACAUGAGACAGGCCUGUUGUUUCCAUUGGAGGAUGAACAUACUGCAGGCUGAUGCUGAUGUUCUUAUUGUUUCUGCUGUAGGAACUCCACAGUCCUGGGAGGACAUGAGUCAGUACUGACUGUAUCACAGAGGACCAGAGAGGAUGGAGCUUGUCAUUGACCUGCUUUUAAUAAUCUAGUUAGUCUAAUGUAGGAUCUAUCCGUGGUCAUCAAAUAGGAUCAUUGUGAUCUAAAAAACUGUAAUAUAAGAUAUUGCAGGGGGAUUAGAAUGUUUUGGACAUAAUAGUGAAUGUAUUACAUGUUUAAUAGAUAAUACUAGUUGUGAGAGAAAUGUAAAUCAUUUUAAGUUGAACUAUGAGGUAGCCCACUGAGAGUAGUUAUUUUUGGAUCGUGGUUAGGAGAAUAAUCUUAACACAGUUAUACAUCUUCUUAUACUUUCUAUCUUUCUUGCUUUCAAGCUGUUUUUCUUGCGACUUCACUUUUUUCUUUUCUUUUUAGUCUUUUUUUCUCCUUGUGGCUGUGGAGACAUGGAAUGAAGUGUGCUUUGCUGAGUCCAUAAAGAGGCGUUUUAAAAAGCUGUGUUAACAGACGAACAAUGGUUAAAUGAGCCCCCCUCGGUGAGGGGCUGGUACCCAUGGGGACUCAGCAUGGCACUCUAUUGGCCCAGCUCUCCCCAGUCCCCCAUUCACCACUCAGUCAUGGUCACUUAUGGUGGAGGGAAAAUCACACGAUUCAUGCGAGGCGUGAUCCAAUGACAUUUUAAUGAGCCCCUACUUUUUGGUUGGGCCAGACUGGACGGACUGGAUGGACACAACUUCAGGUUUCCCCAAGUUUCUGUCAGUCAGGUCAAACCAAACUCUUUCACUCUCUAUCUCUCUCUCUCUGUCUCCAUCCCUCUACCCCUCUCUUUCCUCUCUCCCUCUCCCCUCCUCUCAGGCCUUUUGGCCCACCAGGACCAGAGACAAAGCUCCCACAGCCCAGUUGCAGUCUUUAUGUUGCUCCUGCUGGUAGUUACCAUGACGAUGUCAUCAGAGAACCACCCUUUCUGCUGCCACAAUAGACUUUUUCUUUGUGAGAGUGUUUACAAUGAACAUUUUUAUAUGCAUAAAAAAUGAUGUAACGUUUGAUCUAAACUGAAUUUUGAUACUUGUGGGAUUCAAUAUAUUUACUGAUCAACAUUUUCAAAGGAGACAACUUAUAUAGUAUCUGUGAUUAUGUGCCAGUCUCAUUUUUCAUUAUGACAGAACAAUCUCUUUCUGAGACAUUACAUCAUGUAUCACACUCAUGUGUCCUAUGGUGUGUGUCAGUGUGUCAGUGUUGUCAGUGUGUCAGUGUGUCAGUGUUGUCAGUGUGUCAGUGUGUCAGUGUUGUCAGUGUUGUCAGUGUGUCAGUGUGUCAGUGUGUCAGUGUUGUCAGUGUUGUCAGUGUGUCAGUGUGUCAGUGUGUCAGUGUGUCAGUGUGUCAGUGUUGUCAGUGUGUCAGUGUGUCAGUGUUGUCAGUGUUGUCAGUGUGUCAGUGUGUCAGUGUUGUCAGUGUGUCAGUGUUGUCAGUGUGUCAGUGUGUCAGUGUUGUCAGUGUGUCAGUGUUGUCAGUGUGUCAGUGUGUCAGUGUUGUCAGUGUGUCAGUGUUGUCAGUGUGUCAGUGUUGUCAGUGUUGUCAGUGUGUCAGUGUGUCAGUGUGUCAGUGUUGUCAGUGUGUCAGUGUUGUCAGUGUUGUCAGUGUUGUCAGUGUGUCAGUGUUGUCAGUGUGUCAGUGUUGUCAGUGUUGUCAGUGUUGUCAGUGUGUCAGUGUUGUCAGUGUUGUCAGUGUGUCAGUGUGUCAGUGUUGUCAGUGUGUCAGUGUUGUCAGUGUGUCAGUGUGUCAGUGUUGUCAGUGUGUCAGUGUUGUCAGUGUGUCAGUGUGUCAGUGUGUCAGUGUUGUCAGUGUGUCAGUGUUGUCAGUGUGUCAGUGUGUCAGUGUGUCAGUGGGUCAGUGUUGUCAGUGUGUCAGUGUGUCAGUGUUGUCAGUGUGUCAGUGUGUCAGUGUGUCAGUGUUGUCAGUGUGUCAGUGUGUCAGUGUUGUCAGUGUGUCAGUGUUGUCAGUGUGUCAGUGUUGUCAGUGUGUCAGUAUAUCAGUGUUGUCAGUGUUGUCAGUGUUGUCAGUGUGUCAGUGUGUCAGUGUUGUCAGUGUGUCAGUGUUGUCAGUAUAUCAGUGUUGUCAGUGUGUCAGUGUUGUCAGUAUAUCAGUGUUGUCAGUGUUGUCAGUGUUGUCAGUGUUGUCAGUGUGUCAGUGUUGUCUGUGUGAUAUGUCUAUGGCUAAGAACUGUCAUUAAACUGUCUGACCACAUCACCACACUCAACCAUCAUCUGGCCGUCCACACACUGCAACCACCAGGCUCAUACCACAGGUCCUGGGCCAACAGCCCAGCAGCACACACAAACAUCCAGCAUAUACCAAUCUCCCUCUGCAGAGCCUCCCCACUGAGCUGCCUGUCUUUCUCUCGAUGCACCCUGCUUCUCAUGAGCCUCACUACUAGCUGACAUUGGUGGCUGUGGUGGGGAUGCAGAAUUAGUAUGCAGCAGAGCAGACAGGCCUUCUGUUCUAAUGGGGAGUCCAGAGCAGAGCAGAGUAGAGCGGAGUAGAGCAGAGUAGAAUAGAACAGAGCAAAGCAUAGCAGACGGAGCAUCAGUCUACCGGGGGAUUGAACAGCACCUUCCCUCCUCUCAUCCCCUCUCAGCCCCGGCCUGUCCCGAACCUUAAUGGGACAUCAGACAGACAGACAGAGAGACAGGCAGACAGAGAGACAGACAGACAGAGAGACAGGCAGACAGGCGUCAUUGAGCACAGAGCCCAGCCACCCCACCCCCCUCCUCCUCCUCCCCUCCCCUCCAAAAAUACACCCUCUUUCACACCACCCUCCAGGGCUAUUGAGGGGAUCCUAGACACCCUCCACCCCUCAGCCAAACUCUGCAUAAAUGAUGCUGGUGCCUCUGUGCAGUCCUAUCAGCACCCCCACGCUGUUUCCCAUCCUCCCCUGUCCCCUGUCAUUCCCCUCUCCCUCCCCUGCCCGUCAUUCCCCUCUCCCUCCCCUGCCCGUCAUUCCCCUCUCCCUCCCCUGCCCCAUGUCAUUCCCCUCUCCCUCCCCUGCCCCCUGUCAUUCCCCUCUCCCUCCCCUGCCCC